rnacentral:rRNA from 1 species
UGGGCAACUGCCUGUAAGAUGGGAUAAACGGGAAACGGCUAAUACGGAUAAUUCUUUCCCUCUCAUGAGGGAAAGUUGAAAGUCGGUCUCGGCUGACACUUACAGAUGGGCCCGCGGCGCAUUAGCUAGUUGGUGAGGUAACGGCUCACCAAGGCGACG